UGAACACGGUGGUUUUGCAGUCCCAGGAGGAGGAGAAGGUGCUUGGAUCUCACCAGGUAUUAUGCCGAAAAGCAGCUGAUGGCAUUCUGCAAAUCUGCACCCUGACAUCAGUAUGUGGCUUCAGGUUAUUAAACACAGGAUGUUUUCAAGACCCAGAGUACUUACUGCUACUUUUUGUGUACAUGACAGAUAGUUUCUUAAGAAGUAAUGAAGUAUUUAGCACUGUAGUAUUCAUGCUACUGUGUAAACCCACAAUCAUUGCAAUCCUCAUGCAAUGAAAAGGUAAAAAAUGAAAAAGCAUAAGCUUAUAAAUGGCA